GAGGGCAGAGAGACACCACACUACUACUGACGUCCAGAAGACAUCAUCCAGAUAAACAGCCAUCAAUCAGAAAGCAUCGUCCAGCUGAAAGAGCUCUCCUGCAGGAGGAUGAUGCAAAAAAUGGAAAGGCUGCCUUUUUGGCAAAGUUGGCUACUCUGAAGACCAGCCCCUCUGAAGAUGAAGCAGCAUUUUGGGGCGCGCUUUGGAACGUAGCCAAGGAAUUUGUUGGGUGAGAAGCGACCAGCAUGGGGAUGCCAAGGAUCCUUUUCAGUCUCCAUAUGGAAUCAGCUAUCACCUCUGAAGUCAUCACUAACAUUACCUCAGUGAAUCAUUCCAACAACCAUCAAUCAAUGAUUGUCAAAAAACAACAACAGUAAUACAGUUAAUUGGUACUUUGGUUCUGAGAAGAACUCAUCAACAUUCUGAAGAAUAUAUGUUUUAUCCAUGAACAUGUACUUUAUGUCCUGACACAUGAUAGUUGAUUGGUCAAGUUAGUGGAUAAAUAAUUGUAUGGUUGACUUGUCAUAUUGUGAUCCUCCAAUAAACUAUCAAGCAUAAG
ensembl:lncRNA